ensembl:lncRNA
UUUCAGUUAAAAUCGCUGUUAGGCUAAAUGAAUGUUUUAUUCUGAAAUUCGGCCCGGAAGUUCGUUCGCCCGUGGCAAAGCGAAAAUCAUCGGGGUCUUGGUAGAGAGGGCUGCCUUGCUAAGAUCAUGGAUCUCCUCAGCAGUUUGGAAAUCUACAUCCCUGCAGAGGCUGAGGUGAAAAACAUCCCUUUGUGGACCUUGCCAAAGUCUGUACUCAGAAGAAUGGGCCUCCCUCUCCUGAAUGCCUCCAGGAAUCUUGCAGACUCUCCAGAAGGCAUAUGGAUUUCUCCAGCAGUUAUACGGAAGAAAGGCCAGAGAUACACAGGAAGUGCAAUAGAUAACAUGACCUCAGUGCUGGGCAAAGAGUUGCGUGCUUCAAGGGGUCCUUUUCGAAUGUCUUUUGUUUCCUCGAACCAUGCAGCUCAUGAGGUGCUGAAGGGCACCGUUCCCAAGGCACCUCUAUGUCAAACCUCUCAAUUCCCUCCGGACUCUGCACCACGAACCGGUCGAGAUGCUGUCGUCAUCUACCGUGGGCAAGUUUACUUGUCCAUCAGGGUGCCUAGUCGUAGCCAUAGUCAGCGUGGGAAACAGACGACUUCCCAGCCUGUCACUCCUUCAACGUCCCUCUUGUCUUCAAAGAAAAGGAAAAAGACGAUGCUAAGCGACAAUAAGCCCAAGAAAAAGCACAACAUAUGUGAAGUAAUGCAUACAGAAAACAAGAAGGAUGACGCACACAGGACAAGAGAUGUUCACUUUCUGCCAAAACCCAUUGAGAGUGAGUGUGAAGUUGGCAGCAAGUGUCCUGCAGAUUCUAGAGGAGAGCUGCUCUCAGAAGCCCCCCUGAAGACAGCUGGCUUUCAGCCUCACGGGGAGCCAGAGGAGGAUCUGACUGCCGAAGAAGCAGACGGCCCCCAUGAGAACAAUGACAGAAGUGGUAGUCUACAGAUGGACAUCGGGGAAGUUGACCAAAGUAGCAGGGGCAGGAUGGAGCCCCUGUGUGCAGCUGCCGCCUCCACAUCACUGCAGAUGGACUGUGACUUUAACGAGUUGGCACAAGAGGAGAAGAUCGCUCAAAUGAGAGCCAAACUUAGACAGAACGAAGCUGCUCUAAACCUGCUUUCUUAAAGUGACCUCACAUUUGUUAGCCUUUUUGUACCAAAUGUUUAGAAUAGACUUUUAUACAUUUGUCUUCUGUGAACACAUGCACAUUAAUAAAAAUGGUAUCGAUGGGCUUAUGUGUUUGGUGAUCCUUUUGUUUUAUUCGGGCGUCCAAAAACAAAGAGAUGUUGUACUAGUGUGGUGUUGUCUUCUCAUUAGGUGCAGUUUAUAGCAACGUCUUCAUUGUUUGGAUGUUUUUGAUGUGUUAGUUCUGGUCAAAAAAUCAUUUCCUUUUGAUAAAACCUUAAACCAUAACAGGGUAUGGGUUGAUUAGGUUAACCUGUAGUUUGAUAAGGUCCCAUUUACAAAGUCAACCACAUGGUUCUUUGUUAAAAUGCUUCUUUUUCCCAGAAUAUAUGAUGGGCUUUUUCCUGGUUCAGUAACUAAGACUUUUUUUUUUCUUUUUUUUUUGUUAAAAUCAAGCAUCCCAAAUAUACCGUUUUGUUUUUAUGUUUAGUAUGGUAGUUUUCCUGAUCACCUUGAAACACCUCCACAGGUCAUGAGUGGGUCUUAUAUCUGUUGGAAGUGCUCCAAACCACAAACGGCAAAUAUGACUAAUCUUUGUGCAUAUGUGUUUCAUAAUGUGACUUUUAAUACUAAUUAGACCUGUGAAAAAUCAUUAUUAUUAUCAUUAUUAUUAUUAUUAUUGUUUGGUGACCUAGUGCUGAAAUGGUUGUGGCAUGAUUGUUGUCCUUUCUACUCUGCCUUCUCACUCCAUAAAUUAUUUUUCAUACGCAAGUCUUGCACUCUGGGCCUGACAUUUCCCACUCUUCUGUCAGUGUGGAACAAUAAUGUCAGGACUUUGAAUUGUGACAUAGUGACUGUGCUCACACUCACCUGUCUGUUCUGGUCCCUGAACGAUUCAAAAUGUUUAGCAUGAACUCAUCUAGGGUUAAAGGUUUUCAUUUCUCUGUGUUUGAAAUGCAUUUCUAUAGAUGUAUUUCUGUUUGGAAAAUAUGUUUGCAAUAAAAGCAUUCUGUACGGGGCUUUGAAUUUUAUUUCCAAGAAGCAUCUCACCACACCAAAGUG